GCGCCUGUGGCGGAACUGGCAGACGCGCUGGCCUUAGGAGCCAGUGGGGCAACCCGUGCAGGUUCAACUCCUGCCAGGCGCA
rnacentral:tRNA from 1 species